rnacentral:rRNA from 1 species
AGCGUACACGGUGGAUGCCCUGGCAGUCAGAGGCGAUGAAGGACGUGCUAAUCUGCGAAAAGCGUCGGUAAGGUGAUAUGAACCGUUACAGCCGGCGAUGUCCGAAUGGGGAAACCCAGUGCAAUUCGUUGCACUAUCGUUAACUGAAUACAUAGGUUAACGAGGCGAACCGGGGGAACUGAAACAUCUAAGUACCCCGAGGAAAAGAAAUCAACCGAGAUUCCCCCAGUAGCGGCGAGCGAACGGGGAGCAGCCCAGAGUCUGAAUCAGCUUGUGUGUUAGUGGAACGGUCUGGAAAGUCCGACGGUACAGGGUGAUAGUCCCGUACACCAAAAUGCACAGGCUGUGAACUCGAAGAGUAGGGCGGGACACGUGGUAUCCUGUCUGAAUAUGGGGGGACCAUCCUCCAAGGCUAAAUACUCCUGACUGACCGAUAGUGAACCAGUACCGUGAGGGAAAGGCGAAAAGAACCCCGGCGAGGGGAGUGAAAAAGAACCUGAAACCGUGUACGUACAAGCAGUGGGAGCACCUUCGGGUGUGACUGCGUACCUUUUGUAUAAUGGGUCAGCGACUUAUAUUCUGUAGCAAGGUUAACCGUAUAGGGGAGCCGCAGGGAAACCGAGUCUUAACUGGGCGUUAAGUUGCAGGGUAUAGACCCGAAACCCGGUGAUCUAGCCAUGGGCAGGUUGAAGGUUGGGUAACACUAACUGGAGGACCGAACCGACUAAUGUUGAAAAAUUAGCGGAUGACUUGUGGCUGGGGGUGAAAGGCCAAUCAAACCGGGAGAUAGCUGGUUCUCCCCGAAAGCUAUUUAGGUAGCGCCUCGUGAAUUCAUCUUCGGGGGUAGAGCACUGUUUCGGCUAGGGGGUCAUCCCGACUUACCAACCCGAUGCAAACUACGAAUACCGAAGAAUGUUAUCACGGGAGACACACGGCGGGUGCUAACGUCCGUCGUGAAGAGGGAAACAACCCAGACCGCCAGCUAAGGUCCCAAAGUCACAGUUAAGUGGGAAACGAUGUGGGAAGGCACAGACAGCCAGGAUGUUGGCUUAGAAGCAGCCAUCAUUUAAAGAAAGCGUAAUAGCUCACUGGUCGAGUCGGCCUGCGCGGAAGAUGUAACGGGGCUAAACUGUGCACCGAAGCUGCGGCAGCGACACUAUGUGUUGUUGGGUAGGGGAGCGUUCUGUAAGCCUGCGAAGGUGGCCUGUGAGGGUUGCUGGAGGUAUCAGAAGUGCGAAUGCUGACAUAAGUAACGAUAAUGCGGGUGAAAAGCCCGCACGCCGGAAGACCAAGGGUUCCUGUCCAACGUUAAUCGGGGCAGGGUGAGUCGACCCCUAAGGCGAGGCCGAAAGGCGUAGUCGAUGGGAAACAGGUUAAUAUUCCUGUACUUGGUGUUACUGCGAAGGGGGGACGGAGAAGGCUAUGUUAGCCGGGCGACGGUUGUCCCGGUUUAAGCAUGUAGGCGGAGGUUCCAGGUAAAUCCGGUACCUUUUUAACGCUGAGGUGUGAUGACGAGGCACUACGGUGCUGAAGUAACAAAUGCCCUGCUUCCAGGAAAAGCCUCUAAGCAUCAGGUAACAUUGAAUCGUACCCCAAACCGACACAGGUGGUCAGGUAGAGAAUACCAAGGCGCUUGAGAGAACUCGGGUGAAGGAACUAGGCAAAAUGGUGCCGUAACUUCGGGAGAAGGCACGCUGAUAUGUAGGUGAAGCCCCUGCGGGUGGAGCUGAAAUCAGUCGAAGAUACCAGCUGGCUGCAACUGUUUAUUAAAAACACAGCACUGUGCAAACACGAAAGUGGACGUAUACGGUGUGACGCCUGCCCGGUGCCGGAAGGUUAAUUGAUGGGGUUAUCCGUAAGGAGAAGCUCUUGAUCGAAGCCCCGGUAAACGGCGGCCGUAACUAUAACGGUCCUAAGGUAGCGAAAUUCCUUGUCGGGUAAGUUCCGACCUGCACGAAUGGCGUAAUGAUGGCCAGGCUGUCUCCACCCGAGACUCAGUGAAAUUGAACUCGCUGUGAAGAUGCAGUGUACCCGCGGCAAGACGGAAAGACCCCGUGAACCUUUACUAUAGCUUGACACUGAACAUUGAGCCUUGAUGUGUAGGAUAGGUGGGAGGCUUUGAAGCGUGGACGCCAGUCUGCGUGGAGCCAACCUUGAAAUACCACCCUUUAAUGUUUGAUGUUCUAACGUUGGCCCCUGACCGGGGUUGCGGACAGUGUCUGGUGGGUAGUUUGACUGGGGCGGUCUCCUCCCAAAGAGUAACGGAGGAGCACGAAGGUUAGCUAAUCCUGGUCGGACAUCAGGAGGUUAGUGCAAUGGCAUAAGCUAGCUUGACUGCGAGCGUGACGGCGCGAGCAGGUGCGAAAGCAGGUCAUAGUGAUCCGGUGGUUCUGAAUGGAAGGGCCAUCGCUCAACGGAUAAAAGGUACUCCGGGGAUAACAGGCUGAUACCGCCCAAGAGUUCAUAUCGACGGCGGUGUUUGGCACCUCGAUGUCGGCUCAUCACAUCCUGGGGCUGAAGUAGGUCCCAAGGGUAUGGCUGUUCGCCAUUUAAAGUGGUACGCGAGCUGGGUUUAGAACGUCGUGAGACAGUUCGGUCCCUAUCUGCCGUGGGCGCUGGAGAAUUGAGGGGGGCUGCUCCUAGUACGAGAGGACCGGAGUGGACGCAUCACUGGUGUUCGGGUUGUCAUGCCAAUGGCAUUGCCCGGUAGCUAAAUGCGGAAGAGAUAAGUGCUGAAAGCAUCUAAGCACGAAACUUGCCCCGAGAUGAGUUCU